rnacentral:rRNA from 1 species
GACGAACGCUGGCGGCGGGCUUAACACAUGCAAGUCGAACGGAAAGGCCCUGCUUGUGUGGGGUGCUCGAGUGGCGAACGGGUGAGUAACACGUGAGUAACCUGCCCUUGACUUUGGGAUAACUGCAGGAAACUGGGGCUAAUACCGGAGAGGAGCGCCUGCUGCAUGGGGGGGGUUGGAAAGUUUCGGCGGUUGGGGAUGGACUCGCGGCUUAUCAGCUGGUUGGUGGGGUAGUGGCUUACCAAGGCUUUGACGGGUAGCCGGCCUGAGAGGGUGACCGGCCACAUUGGGACUGCGGUACGGCCCAGACUCCUACGGUAGGCAGCAGUGGGGAAUAUUGCCCAAUGGGCGGACGCCUGAUGCAGCAACGUCGCGUGCGGGAUGACGGCCUUCGGGUUGUAAACCGCUUUCGCCUGUGACGAAGCGUGAGUGACGGUAAUGGGUAAAGAAGCACCGGCUAACUACGUG